GAUGAACGCUGGCGGCGUGCUUAACACAUGCAAGUCGAACGGAAAGGCUCCUGCUUGCCGGGGUCCUCGAGUGGCGAACGGGUGAGUAACACGUGGGUGAUCUGCCCUGCACUUCGGGAUAAGCCUGGGAAACUGGGUCUAAUACCGGAUAGGACGAUGGUUUGGAUGCCAUUGUGGAAAGUUUUUCGGUGUGGGAUGAGCUCGCGGCCUAUCAGCUUGUUGGUGGGGUAAUGGCCUACCUAGGCGUCGACGGGUAGCCGGCCUGAGAGGGUGUACGGCCACAUUGGGACUGAGAUACGGCCCAGACUCCUACGGGAGGCAGCAGUGGGGAAUAUUGCACAAUGGGCGCAAGCCUGAUGCAGCGACGCCGCGUGGGGGAUGACGGCCUUCGGGUUGUAAACUCCUUUCGCUAGGGACGAAGCGCAAGUGACGGUACCUGGAGAAGAAGCACCGGCUAACUACGUG
rnacentral:rRNA from 1 species